CUAUAUACCGCCGUCGUCAGCUUACCCUGUGAAGGAAAAAUAGUAAGCAUAAAUGGCAAAGCCAAAAACGUCAGGUCGAGGUGUAGCGUAUGGGGUGGGAAGAAAUGGGCUACAUU
rnacentral:rRNA from 1 species